rnacentral:lncRNA from 10 species
GAUGCUUUAUCCUUUGACAUUAAGAAUGCUGUUUGCAGAAGUAACAUUCCUUUGAACACUCAGCUUUCUGAAAUGGUGUCCCACCGCAAGGACUGGAGAAGGAUCUUGCUUUCUUUUGUAUGUUUGCAAAGAAUAUAUAGUACACUUCCUUGAUCUGUGGUUCCUAAAGUGUGAUUCCCAACAAGCAGCAUCAGGAUCAUCUGGAAACUUGAUAGAAAUGUAAAUUCUACAGUCCCUCCUUGGAGCUACAGAUUCAGAAAUUCUGAAGUUUAAGUCCAGCAGUUGGUUAUAAUAAGCUCUCUAGGUGAUUCUGACUUGCACCAAGGUAAACCUCAGGUUCUCCUCCUGCCUUUUGCUAAGUAUAUGUCUUGAUGACAAGCCUUCUGCUGAUGAGCUGUGUUUCUGGACCGAUCAUGGUAGAAGUCAAUUAACGUGUCCCUCACUUGGGGUUUCUCAAGGCUGCACUGAUGAGGAAACUGAAACAGAAAAUCCAGAGUAAAUUCCACCAGGCCACACAGCAAGGUCUGAUAGAGCCAGGAGAGACUUUAUGAAAUCCAGACUCUCACACUAAUGCUCUAUCAGCUAGACCUCCAUGUGAGUCUCCCCAAUGUAGGUAGGAAGUGCUUUCCCUAAAAUGCUCAUAAAGCAAAUCAGAGCAAUGCUGCAUUCCAUGUGAUUUCUAAUUUGAAAUGCAAACAAUUGCCAAUUUGUUUGACUUGUAUUUAUAAUUAUUUCCUUGUGAAUUACUCAUCACUAAAUGCUUUAUAAAUAUUUUCUCUUUUUUUCCUCAAUGUCUAUGGAAUGAUCACAGCAUAGAAAAUGUUGGCUUUCAAGGAUUUAUUAAUAUCUCCUUUUGAAAUAACAUGUAUUUGUAAGACAGAAUAAAAUCACUUUAAA